rnacentral:tRNA from 1 species
GGAGAGAUGUCCGAGAGGCUGAAGGAGCACGACUGGAAAUCGUGUGUGGGGUCUUAAAAACCUCACCGAGGGUUCAAAUCCCUCUCUCUCCG